rnacentral:tRNA from 2 species
AAAGGUUUAGUUAAACUAUAACGCUAAUUUGUCAAGUUAUAAUUACCCCGGGGUAGCCUUUA